rnacentral:rRNA from 1 species
AACCUGCGGAAGGAUCAUUAGUGAAUAUAGGACGUCCAACUUAACUUGGAGUCCGAACUCUCACUUUCUAACCCUGUGCAUUUGUUUGGGAUAGUAACUCUCGCAAGAGGGCGAACUCCUAUUCACUUAUAAACACAAAGUCUAUGAAUGUAUUAAAUUUUAUAACAAAAUAAAACUUUCAACAACGGAUCUCUUGGCUCUCGCAUCGAUGAAGAACGCAGCGAAAUGCGAUAAGUAAUGUGAAUUGCAGAAUUCAGUGAAUCAUCGAAUCUUUGAACGCACCUUGCGCUCCAUGGUAUUCCGUGGAGCAUGCCUGUUUGAGUGUCAUGAAUACUUCAACCCUCCUCUUUCUUAAUGAUUGAAGAGGUGUUUGGUUUCUGAGCGCUGCUGGCCUUUAGGGUCUAGCUCGUUCGUAAUGCAUUAGCAUCCGCAAUCGAACUUCGGAUUGACUUGGCGUAAUAGACUAUUCGCUGAGGAAUUCUAGUCUUCGGACUAGAGCCGGGUUGGGUUAAAGGAAGCUUCUAAUCAGAAUGUCUACAUUUUAAGAUUAGAUCUCAAAUCAGGUAGGACUACCCGCUGAACUUAAGCAUAUCAAUAAGCGGAGGAA